GGAGCCUUCAGAAAGCUCUCAGCAUGCGUUUGGCUUGUCUGGGAAGGGAAAUGCUAGCUGCCUUAUGGUUCUGAUCAGGGCCAGUUGGGAUGUGACAAAUUUCUGGAGUGCAAAGUAAAACAAACCAGAGAGCGAAUAACAACAGAGAGGAGAAUAAAAACAAAACAAAAACAAAAUGGAUACAACUGAACAUGCUUUCAAAUGAGAGCUUCCAGAAGAUUGCAGGACAGUAGGAUCAAAGCAUGGCAUAACUAUCAAACUGUUUUCUUAAACCUAAACAUACUUGGCCCUUACAGCACACUAUUAUUAGAUACAGAUUGUGCAUAUGUGUAUGUAGGAGGAGCUUGGGCUUUUCCUGCAGCUGCGCUGAGCCUCGCAGGGCUGUACAGCAGUUUUGUGCAGUCGGUGGCAGGCCCAGCUGGGCACCAGCACGGAGUGCUGCGGGGCACAGCAGGGCUCCGCACCUCCUCCCCGAGACCAGCUCACCGGAGAGCCGCUGGAGCCACGCAAGAUGAAGUGCUACAGGGAAGUGGGAAAGGGAAGAGAAGACGAGCAGAGUAGGAGAGUGCUACCGAGUGAACACACGUGGCUGAGAAAUAUGGAGCCCCUUCUCUGUCACAGCACUCCUUUUGGAGACGUGGGGGCGUGGGGUGGGAGCAGCAGCAGCUGAGCAGCGGUGCCAGCGCCCGCAGCCCCCAGGGCAGUCCCAGGGGACAGCAUGGGUGGGUGCCCUCCGGCCACAACAGUCCAGGGAAGGAGAGAGGGAGAAAUUUGCCCCCUGCCUUCUUCCCUCAGAUGUAUGACUCAAGAAUUGCCCUGUUGGUCACACGUCUUUCAAUUUAAACGCUGGAGGAAUAUGCUGAACGGUUAAGGCUGAAGUGAAGAGGCUUGGUGCCUCAGCUCUGCCUUCUAUAAACUGGCAUUGCCUCGUAAGGCUAAUAUAACUCCUAGUUUAUAACUGUGAAGCUCUUUGUGAUCUGCAGAAGGUAGAGACUAGAGAAAGAAAUUUAUAAAACAAUAAAUACUAAUCUUAGAAUGACUUUCAGUCACCCUUAAAGAGGAAGAAAAGAGCAGGUUAUGCACUGUAACUUAUAUACAGACUCCUGUAGAAAUUACAGGAAUUGUCAGAGGUUAACAUAUUGCUCCCAAAGGCUCUUCUGUGCUUAUGCAGAAAGUCACAUUCAUCCUCGUCCAUUACUGCAGUAACAAGGCACAAGGCUUGAAACGAUUGCAAACGAAAGAAAACGGCAUUACGAUACGGUCUCCUUGCCAAAACACUGCCUGGUACAGCUAAGCAUGCGGCCGUCUGAGAGCUGAGAUAAAGAGAUGGGAAAAUCGGAGGCCUGAUGGCAGCCAAUGCCACCACCGCUCCAUCUGAGGGCGGUGGAGGCUGGCAGGCAUUGUGUCCUCCUCCCCGCGCCGCCUGCCCGACCUCGCUCUGCUCCACCGCAGGGCAGCGAUCGACCGACGGGUUGCCCUUCGGUGGUUCACUGACAUUCGUGCAACGUGGAACUGGAUUUGAGAGCAUGCAUUCCUCUCGUCACCCAGAAUGAAAGUGAAACUCAGCGAGUUAUUUUUGUCCUCGCCAAACCCGAAGCGUGGCAGAGGAACCUGCCGUGCCUCCCCGCGGAGCGCCCCAGCUGGGCAGCCCCAGCCCCGGUGGCAGCGCAGCGAGCUGCUUUCGGCAGCAGGUCCCUCGCUAGGAUGCUGGGCUACAGGAGGCAUCUCCCCGAAGGGACCGGUUACUAUUUUUAUUGAGAGACCUUUCUAAAUAACUGAAAAAGAAAACAGGAAACCGCAGCGCUGUGGACUGGAGCCCGAAGUGUUCUCACACAUCUGCUGUUACUGGGGCGGCCACCAUUAGGCAAUGGAAACUAAUGGGGAUGCUGGUGAGAAGAUGAAGUAAGUGCAUUUAAUCACUGCGUCCUUUUACCUGUACCGCUACCGGUCAACUGGGAUGAUCCCUCAAAUUCAUGACACUCGCACAGGACGGUCCGCAAGAGUUAACAUUUCAGGCACAACUGACACGGACAAGUAGGGCGCACUGGUGAGACACCAUCACAUAUUUUCUGGCACUUCUCUCCAGCCCAAAACAAGAAAAAAGUGAUUGUGAAGAACAUUUUUGAGUCCAAGAAAUGGUGGAGGAACCACGAUGAAGGAGACUGGUGAUUUUCAGAGAAUUAUAGUAUCAUUUCUGAACAUCUAUAUAAGUCCUUAGUGAGCAUCAUUAGUUUAUUGUGGUUUAAAUAAUUAAUCUGGAACGGGACUGCUACUUCUUAUCCUCUUUGGAAGAAGUCUCUUGUGAUACACUUAGAUACAUGAAUGUGUAAAAGCCUGUGAGCCCUGUAUAGCCCUGAGGCCUUCACGUCCAGAAAUGGUCUCACAUUGACAGGGUGACACUGACCUCUGCAUUUUCAAAAUACUUUAUAUGAUUUUACUAACUGCAGAUUUUCAGAUGCUCUGUGAUUUUUUGAAUGCUCCAAACUACAAGAGAACUUUUGAAUAUUGGUACAUAAUUCAGAUCAUCUCUUCAUAACAUGGCCAAGCUAAUAAGUUGAAGCAUAAGUGAUUUAACUUUCUUUUCCCCUACAGUUUCAGAUUUACUUAGUUGUGUUUAGGACCUUUAAGCAUUGGAGUGAAGAGCGAAUACAGAGACAAAUAUGUUGUUUGUUUUCCCAGUGCCAGAUAGAUGGAUUCAAUUUUCAGAUUCCUUAAACUGCCAACAUUGAAAAGUCGUAAAAAAAAAAAAAAAAAGAAAAGAAAAGAAAAGAAAAAGAGGGGGGAAGCAUUUGUUUUAAAGAUCUGUCAUGGUUUCUAUAAACUGCACAGAUUUUUUUGUCAUUUAUAACAAAAUUGAUGUCACAUGUACAUUCUAUCACUCGCAUCUGAUGAUGUUACUUUAGUGAGAAGUUCAAAUACGGUUAAAAGAAGUGAAUAUAGUUCUUCUUUUCCCAACCACCUUCAUUUUAACCACAGGGGCAGCUCUACCCCAGACCUUGGGAUUUUGUUAAAAGGCCCCUUCGUGUUCACGUUGCUCCUCAGGGGAGGAAGACUCUGGAGGCUCAGCAGAUACCCACAGGGUAUCAAUGCUGGGGGGCUUGAGGACUGCCUCGCGGCGGGGCUGGACAGCUGCUGGGACGUGCCCGGGGCAGGGACAAUCUGGCUCCAGCAGUGCUGAGCCCCCCGCAGUCUGCCCCUCACCUCAGUCAGCGCCAUCUGACAACAGGGAUGGAGCCCUGCACAUUACACGUUACAUCUAAAAAGAGGCAAUCUUUUCCCUUCGACACUGAAUACUUUUCACAGCUGUGUGCUGUGGAGAGAGGCAAAGAAGAAAUGCUCAGGAAGCACACAGAAAAGAGAGGUCAUUUCUGUCGAGCUUUUUAUUUCCUCUCUUUUAAGUUUGAAUUAAUUUAGAUUGCAAUUUUUAAACAAAACUUGCAGCCGGUGAGAAUUGGACAAAGUUCCUCUGCUUCCCUGACACUUUUCCACCUUAAACAGGGAUAAACACAUUCUUCUUUAUUUUCAAAGCUUCCUCAAGAUGGUAGUUUUCUUAUCAUGCAAGUUUCCCAGAACACAGAUUUCCUUCACCAUGCACAGAGGGGUUAAGCUGCAAGCCUGAAAGUCACUGAGCAGGAGGACUUCCAGGACAGCCAGGGAGUCAGCUCAUUCCCAGCCAGGAAAGAGAUGAAAGACCAAAUCCUGAGCUGUAACCCCUGACAGCCUUGCUUAAAUAGGACUGGUUCAGGCUAAUGGCUGGCUGUCAACAGGAGUGAGUGUUUAUAAAAAUGCUAAAAAUAGUCUACAGUAUGAUAUAUGCACUCAAGGGAUAAUUUGCAAAGUGUACAAAGAACAAUUAGGGCCACAAAAUCCAUCGACUGCAGGGCCAAUUGCGAUCACCCAACAUGGUCACCAAAAGACCACAGGCGAUCCAAUUUCUGUAUUGCCUAUGUAACAAUACCUAAUUUUAAGUCCAUGUUUUCCAGUGGGAGAGGCUUCUGCCCAGGCAUUUUAGCUCUGCUGGGGUGAGCUUCCUUCAAAAUUAAACGUAUAGACCCAUCUCGGGGGUAGCCUGGCUGACCUCUGGGCACUGGAUCUCACUGCUCCUUGCUUUUGGGACAGAAGGCCAUCCAUUUAAUAACCUGGUGGUGAAUCCAGGUCCUUCUAUGAAGGCUACACAUUUCGUUGCAAAAUGAUGUGAAGUGAUAUAGGUCUAAUCACUUACAGUUAAUAGUGUGAGUUCUGGAACAAGCUUUGCAUGUAAAGUGUUGGUUGUUGUCCUAGAACUGCUCGCUGCUCUGGAAGGCCUGGAAAGCAUUCGUGACUUACACAUUACUAUAUCUUCACAUGGAAUUUCUGCAAAAUGUAUUAGCUGUUGUCACCCAGUCCCCAUACUGAGUCCCUCUGAGAAGGCAUCAGCACCCAGAAAGGUAGCCUGUUUGUAGAACAGUGGUAUGUACUGGUAAUAAAAGUCUGCCUUGCUUCCUGCUAUCUAUUAGGAAAUAGAGAUAACCAGGUAUGGGUUAGACAUUACCUACACAUUGAGAAGUCACAACUGGGAAAAAUGAGCAUCAAUAAGAAGCAAUGAGGUAAAAAACAAAACAGUUUUCAAUCCAUUUCUGAAGAACUGGCCUACUUCAGUGCAGUCUUUCCAAACCAAGGGUGACUACAUUUCUCACUCUUUCUCUUGCUGAUACGUCACAAGAUUAAUUUUCCACUUUGCCUUUAAUCUUAACUCACAAGGACUAAAACAAAAAGUUGUUUUAUGCACUGGGUAAUUUUUUGCAAACAGUAUUUGAGAAAAUCUAACUAGAGCAAACCCUAUCUCAGCUUCCUCUGGCACGCAUCUAUCUUUUUUUCAGUUUCAUUUCCUUAAAGGAAAUAGACUCAUUCUGCUCUGAGACCUUUUAUUCCUCCUGGGCGUAUAUGCCACAGAAAAGUAAUUAAUAUGUAAUCACAGACUAAUUAAAUAUGUUCUUUUAUGUUUUGCAUUUAUAAAUCAUGACUAACAGCCUGAACUCUCAGGUCAACGGACAUCUUCAUCCCUUAGCGUUGUCAGAUUUUCUGUAUUCCUGUUAUACUCAUAUGCUUUAUAUGUUUCAUUUUUUUCACUCUCAAAGUACUAGGCUAUGUGUUUCAGAUAGUCAAGCAACAGUGCUCGCUGAUCUGUACAACUCUUCAAACAGAAGUGGAAAAAGAGGGACCAAAGACAGGAAGCAUCACCUGGUGAUCCUACCGCCUAAGCGCUGUCCUAAACUCCUUCAGAAAGACUUGCUGAACCAGCACAACUCCUUAUCAAAUAUUAAAUCAAAUGAUGAUACACAGUAGCUUACCUCAGCCUAAUUCCCCUUUUUUUAAGCAUAUAUUUUUUUCUUCCUAAUCUCAGAGACUUGGGGUAAUUUUCCAUUACUCUGCCUGGGUUCCAGGAGGGCCAGGCCUCCGCAAAGAGCACUCUGCCAGAACGCGCCUCGCAGCCUGCACAUGCUUUGCACGUCAACAAGAUUUCGGCAGGAAAAAACAGGAACUUCAUUGCCUUUCUGUCUUUAAUACACAGAUUACAAGCUUUCACACAUCAGUGUCCACUUUUUGGUGUUUGUUUGUUUUUAGAGCUUGCUUGCCGCCGGUUGGAGUGGCUGAGGCCGCACUCCUGGCUGCGGUUACGCCCUCCCCUGCGACGCCUGGUGCUUGGCCUCCACGAGGAGGCUCCGCUGGACACGCUGCAAAGAAAAAGCAGCGUAGCUGACUUACUUCACUUUAUUCACAAAUAUUCUUUGUAACCCGUCGUGCAUUUUAAAAAGAAGUUCUCACUAGCAGUC